UUACGGCCAUAUCACGUUAAAAACCGAUUCCCACACAAUCACCGAAAUUAAGCAACGUCGAGCCUGGUCAGUACCUAGAUGAGUGACCGCUUGGGAAUACCAGAGGAUGUA